rnacentral:rRNA from 1 species
CAGCCGCCGCGGGAAUACGUAGGUGGCAAGCGUUGUCCGGAAUUAUUGGGCGUAAAGGGCUCGCAGGCGGUUUCUUAAGUCUGAUGUGAAAGCCCCCGGCUCAACCGGGGAGGGUCAUUGGAAACUGGGAAACUUGAGUGCAGAAGAGGAGAGUGGAAUUCCACGUGUAGCGGUGAGAUGCGUAGAGAUGUGGAGGAACACCAGUGGCGAAGGCGACUCUCUGGUCUGUAACUGACGCUGAGGAGCGAAAGCGUGGGGAGCGAACAGGAUUAGAUACCCCGGUAGUCCCUGUCUCUUAUAC